GUAAAAGAUAUUGGCGUCACAGAUGUAAGAACAAGUCAUAUAACAUGACUUGAUUCUUGUAGCUCGGCAAAAGAUUCGAGCUCGAAAAACCUGUGGCAUUUAGAUUAAGUUAUAUUGACAAGGUUCAUGAGAUGGUGGUACAUCUAUAAGAAAGAUAAAUUGUAUUGAGUUAUUUAACUUGAUUAACUUAUGAUAGGACGAGAAUAGAAGCAAGGAAAAAAAAGGGUGCACAUGUAAGAAGUCAGCAUGCUUGAAAAACUAUACUACGAGUGUUAACUGGAAAAGACAAAAACCAGUAUUGGGGAAAAGUUGUGAUGGAUCUCAUCAGUGGGAUACGCAAUAUCAAGACCCUUCACUUGACAUUUUCGGCUGUUGAGGUGGACUACCGGUGUUCAGCAACCUCGUUGAGUUAGUGUUUUCGAGUAAGAAACAAGGUUGGAUAGUGCUUCUGCCACUUCUGCUAGAGGUUUAUCCAAAACUAACAACUCUGGUUCUCACGGUCGUUACACAUUGAGAGCAUGUCAAAUUGUUGGGGUUCGAAUUCCCUCGAACAACCAAAUAAAGAUGUUGCAUAUCAUACAAUAUCAAGGAAGUGCAACCGAGCUGAAACAGUUUAAGCCAUUUCUUACUGCAUAUGGAGUGUCUUGAAGUUGUGAAAGUCUACGUUGCACGGACCAAAAAGAUGCAACUCACCGAGGAUAUACUAAAGCUUCCAACAGCUUCAUCUCAGGUCAAGAUACAAGUCCUGUGAUCAUCAUCCACAACUAAGUUACUUAUCUUCAAAAAAUUGAACUGCAAU